rnacentral:rRNA from 1 species
AGUGAACGCUGGCGGUAGGCCUAACACAUGCAAGUCGAACGGCAGCACAGUAAGAGCUUGCUCUUACGGGUGGCGAGUGGCGGACGGGUGAGGAAUACAUCGGAAUCUACUUUUUCGUGGGGGAUAACGUAGGGAAACUUACGCUAAUACCGCAUACGACCUACGGGUGAAAGCAGGGGAUCUUCGGACCUUGCGCGAUUGAAUGAGCCGAUGUCGGAUUAGCUAGUUGGCGGGGUAAAGGCCCACCAAGGCGACGAUCCGUAGCUGGUCUGAGAGGAUGAUCAUCCACACUGGAACUGAGCCCCGGUCCAGACUCCUACGGGAGGCAGCAGUGGCGAAUAUUGGACACUGGGCGCGAGCCUGCUCCAGCCCUACCGCGUCGGUGAGGAAGGCCUUCGGGUUGUAAAGCCCUUUUGUUGGGAAAGAAAAGCAGCAGGUUAAUACCCCGCUGUUCUGACGGUACCCAAUGAAUAAGCACCGGCUAACUUCGUG